ACACAUGCAAGCCGAGAGGUAGAGAUUCUUCGGAAUCUUGAGAGCGGCGCACGGUUGCGGAACACGUGUGCAACCUGCCUUUAUCUGGGGGAUAGCCUUUCGAAAGGGAGAUUAAUACCCCAUAAUAUAAUGAGUGGCAUCAAUCAUUAUUGCAAACUCCGGUGGAUAGAGAUGGGCACGCGCAAGAUUAGAUAGUUGGUGAGGUAACGGCUCACCAAGUCAAUGAUCUUUAGGGGGCCUGAGAGGGUGAUCCCCCACACUGGUACUGAGACACGGACCAGACUCCUACGGGAGGCAGCAGUGAGGAAUAUUGGACAAUGGGUGAGAGCCUGAUCCAGCCAUCCCGCGUGAAGGACGACGGCCCUAUGGGUUGUAAACUUCUUUUGUACAGGGAUAAACCUUUCCACGUGUGGAAAGCUGAAGGUACUGUACGAAUAAGCACCGGCUAACUCCGUGCCAGCCGCCGCGGUAAUACGGAGGGUGCACGCGUUAUCCGGAUUUAUUGGGUUUAAAGGGUCCGUAGGGCGAUCUGUAAGUCAGUGGUGAAAUCUCAUAACUUAACUAUGAAACUGCCAUUGAUACUGCAGGUCUUGAGUACGGUAGACUUAGCUGGAAUAAGUCGUGUAGCGGUGAGAUGCGUAUAUAUUACUUACAACACCAAUUGUCUAAUGCUGGUUACUAUGUCUUAUCUGACGCUUAUGCACGAGAGCGUGAGGAGCGAACAGGAUUAGAUACUCUGGGUGUCCACGCCGUAAACGAUGCUAACUCGUUUUUUGACUUUCGGGUUCAGAGACUAAGCGAAAGUGAUAAGUUAGCCACCUGGGGAGUACGAACGCAAGUUUGAAA
rnacentral:rRNA from 1 species